UACGUAUGUCGCAAGCGUUAUCCGGAUUUAUUGGGCGUAAAGCGUGUCUAGGCGGGUUAGUAAGUUUAAUGUGAAAAUGCGGGGCUCAACCCCGUAUAGCGUUGGAUACUGCUAAACUAGAGUACUGGAGAGGUAAGCGGAACUACAAGUGUAGAGGUAAAAUUCGUAGAUAUUUGUAGGAAUGCCGAUGGGGAGGGCUGCCUCCUGGACAGAGACUGACGCUAAAGUGCGAAAGCGUGGGUAGCA
rnacentral:rRNA from 1 species